rnacentral:tRNA from 1 species
UAUAGAGUGCCUGAAAAAAGGAUAAUUUUGAUAGAAUUAACAAUAUGCACCGCCGGCAUCU